rnacentral:rRNA from 1 species
GACGAACGCUGGCGGCGUGCCUAAUACAUGCAAGUUGAGCGCUGAAGGUUGGUACUUGUACCAACUGGAUGAGCAGCGAACGGGUGAGUAACGCGUGGGGAAUCUGCCUUUGAGCGGGGGACAACAUUUGGAAACGAAUGCUAAUACCGCAUAAAAACUUUAAACACAAGUUUUAAGUUUGAAAGAUGCAAUUGCAUCACUCAAAGAUGAUCCCGCGUUGUAUUAGCUAGUUGGUGAGGUAAAGGCUCACCAAGGCGAUGAUACAUAGCCGACCUGAGAGGGGGGUGGGCCACCUUGGGAGUGAGACACGGCCAAAACUCCUACGGGGGGCAGCAGUGGGGAAUUUUCGGCAAUGGAAGAAAGUCUGACCGGGAAACGCCGGGGGAGGGAAGAAGGUUUUCGGAUCGUAAAACUCUGUUGGUAGAGAAGAACGUUGGGGAGAGUGGAAAGCUCAUCAAGUGACGGUAACUACCCAAAAAGGGGCGGCUAACUACGU